rnacentral:sRNA from 2 species
CUGGGGGUGAGACUUCUGUGGGGAACAGCUGCUCGGCGACGAGUUAUUAUUGCAACAAGAUACCCAGAAGCCGAAGUCUCUAGCUAACGGUGUGAUUGGCACGCAGGGCUUCUAGCGGUUUUCUGAGACGGCGGGACAAGCAGACUAGGAGACUAGGAGGCGACUCCGCAUUUUCGGCGUAUUCGCCGAGGGAUUCUCCUGGUGUCUGGAGGCGCCGUUGGUGGAUUGUUCCCUGGCGGCCAAGAAUGCUCGGCGGAAUGAGAAUGAAACGAGAUGGCCCAACAUCAUCACGUAACGUUACGAGAAAGAGGCCCGAAUAAGGCGUUUGCUUGCAUUCGUUCGUGAAUCAUGACCUUGCGAGAACAACAUCAAUGGGCGAAGAUAUCUUUCUAAACCUUGUCUCCGGCUCUCCGAACUAAUCCUCAUGGUUGCUCCUUAAACGAUGCAAGCAGCUGCAGCGAGUUGUUAGGAAGUAAACAUUAAAACAAAGCAAAAUAAACAAAUAAAAGUAAA